GAUGAACGCUAGCUACAGGCUUAACACAUGCCAGUCGAGGGGCAGCAUGGUCUUAGCUUGCUAAGGCCGAUGGCGACCGGCGCACGGGUGAGUAACACGUAUCCAACCUGCCGUCUACUCUUGGACAGCCUUCUGAAAGGAAGAUUAAUACAAGAUGGCAUCAUGAGUUCACAUGUUCACAUGAUUAAAGGUAUUCCGGUAGACGAUGGGGAUGCGUUCCAUUAGAUAGUAGGCGGGGUAACGGCCCACCUAGUCUUCGAUGGAUAGGGGUUCUGAGAGGAAGGUCCCCCACAUUUGAACUGAGACACGGUCCAAACUCCUACGGGAGGCAGCAGUGAGGAAUAUUGGUCAAUGGGCGAGAGCCUGAACCAGCCAAGUAGCGUGAAGGAUGACUGCCCUAUGGGUUGUAAACUUCUUUUAUAAAGGAAUAAAGUCGGGUAUGUAUACCCGUUUGCAUGUACUUUAUGAAUAAGGAUCGGCUAACUCCGUG
rnacentral:rRNA from 1 species